GACGAAGAUCGAAGACAGAGACAGAGAUGAUGAACCCGCGAUCCUCGAGCCCUCGACCCUCGGAAGAGACAGAGAUGAAGACGAACCCGCGACCCUCGAGCUCUUGACCGUGUCCCUCGAGCCGCGACCUUCGAGCCCUCGACCGCGACCUCGAGCCCGCGACUCCACGACAUUUCAGGCUUUCCCCGUCGUCUUCUUCAUCAAUAAUCCAUGAAGAUGUAGAGGGUCGUCCAGCCCAUCAUCCUUCCUUAUCCCCUUUGCACAUACCCAGUAGAUUAGAUUCUUUUGACCCAACAAUUUCUUCAAGUUCAAUCUUCAAGACCCGACAGCACACCCUCCUCGGAUCGGGCUGCUGCCAUUCCAAACUCGAAGGGCGGAGUUCGGCUUCAUAUGAAACUGGUCUGCAAUAACUGGGCACCUCUUUUCUUCUUUUUGCUUCGAUGGGUUGAUUGUUCUUGUGCUUGUUUCUUGCCGGGGUACUUGAACCUCUUCCGCAUCCUUAUGUACAAGGUUUACCCGGAUGGGAGAUUGAGCCUUGGCGCUAACGCAAGGAAAGCAACAAUACGGGACUUGUAUGGCAUCUAGUUGAUCCUCUGAAGCUUCCGCAAAUCGAUUUUUUUUACGGUUGAAGUGGAUUGAAGAAAUUGAAACUCCAUUGAGCCGGACAAGAUAGCUGCUGUGCGGAAAGCCUCUUGAGAGCCAGAAUCCUGCAAGUUCUUUUCCCUUCGUGCUCGGAUGAAUUCCUCUGUAAAUUAGUAUGGAGCCUGAAAUGUAUAGCACUGUAAUUCAUUACAUUACCCUGCCAACUGUGCUGUUUCAUUUGGUAUGAAUAAUAACUGUUACGUAGUAUACUGCAUUUCUCCUUUGUAUCAAAA